GCAGCCAUUGCAAACAAGACCACUUUUUACUGAAUUAUGUUCAGCCAUAAAUUGCUGCAUUCCAUGGCAUGAAAACCUCAGCAAAGGACACGUGACUGGCAGACACACGGAGUUGUUGGACAGACAGACAAGCAUCUGUCUUCUCUGCCUCCAGGUGCAACUGCUACACAACCACUCUCUGCUUCUGCCACAGGUUCGUCUCUUUUUGCCUGAGUUGCAGAGCCAUGGAGCCCCGUUGGCAGCUGGAGCCCAAAGCCACAAAGAUGAGGAAUCACUGAACAUAGGAUCCCUCAUUUCUCAGGCUUGUAAAUGAGAAGAUUCAAAGAGUCAGGUGUGAAGCACUGCUGAAGGGAAUAUAAGAAACCUGCACUGAAAAACACCUUCUCUAGGAUUGUAUCAACUCAGCAAAACUGCCUGAGACCACAGAACUUUUUUGCUGAUUACUCUGUAAAAGCGUCACUUCUCCUGAGUUCCCAAAGCAUUUGAACAUCAGCAAGUAGCCUGGGAUGUUGCAGUCACUUGGGUGUCCCAGUGCUGUCAUGAAUUUUGUUCACACAGCAUUGAAAACAAAAGCUGGGAUUUGUUUCACAAAGAAAUUUGAAACAAUGAAAAAAAAUGACAGAGAAGAAUAAGCACGUGCUUUUUAUGACUUCUCCCCCUUCCCUGUGCUGGUACCACAUCAAUAAUGGAGUGAGGGGCAGGUUGAGCCUGAAUGUUCAGAAUGAGAGCUCAAGGAGGCUGCAAAAGAUGUCAUGACCAAGAGGGAGCUCCCACCAGCCAUUCCUUUAUCUGCUGUGACAUAUAUGAGCUGCCAGGACAGUCCCAGUGAGCUGCCAGGACACUUGGGUCCUUGUUGGAGCUCCGAGGGCACGAGCCAGAGUGCACAGGCCAGCACUGCUGUCUGUCUGUCUCUGUCUGUCUGCCUACAGAGCAGGGCACAGCAAUCCUUACAUCUCAAAUAUGCACCCUAGCUGCAGGCUGGAUUUUCUGAAAGGUUUUCUUGCUGCGUGUCCCAGCUAAGCUGAGUGUGAAAGCUGACAGGAGACGAAGCCACAGGAUCUGGGCUGACAUUUACAAGUUCUUCAGCUCUCAGGGACAAACACCGACUUGUAACUCUGCAUCAGCAAAUUAUUCAUUUAUUUUUUCUCUGUGUGCAUCUGCUGAGAGAUACUGGCUAAAAUUACAGUGGGUACUCUUUUUGUAUGUACCUACAUGUGUGUGUAUAUAUGCAUUAGCACACAGAUAUUUAAAAUGGAAAGGAAGAAAAUGGAACUGUAAAUUAAUAACUCUAUCUUAAUUUGUUGUUUCAAAUUAAUGUUUUGGUCAUUCACAUUGAGUUUGACUCAAAAUAACAAGCCCAUCUGUCUGAAGAAGAUAUAUCCAGAUGCUAAUAUCAGGACAACAAUACAAGACCAUGCUAUUUGAAAAAAAGGACUAUUCUCUACGCUAAGAAGUCAAUAUAGCUCUCCUGUGAAAGAAAUGAAGUGUGUAUCUGUCCCUGUAUAGGAUUCUUCUAGGCUUGGGAGAAAGCUAUUACAGAGAAUGAAUCAAAAACAAAGCAACAUUUAUUGGUGCUUUCUUUAAGGGAAGAGAAGAGAGAAUAAAAUUUGCUCUAUCAUAAAAUAUUUACAUGGGUUUUUCUGUAAAUCACAGUAGAGAGAAAAUAAUAGGACAGAAAAGGAAGAUG